GCCGGGCAUGGUGGCGCAUGCCUGUAAUCCCAGCUACUCAGGAGGCUGAGGCAGGAGAUUCGCUUGAACUCAGGAGAUGGAGGUUACAGUGAGUCGAGAUCGCGCCACUGCUCUCCAGCCUGGACGACAGAGUGAGAUUCUGUCUCAA
rnacentral:sRNA from 1 species